GAAAGGUGAAGACUUGUUCCUUUUGAAGCAGAAGGGUCUCUCAUUAAAGAGACAAAAUAUUGUCCAUUAAUUAUUCAACUAAACUUUGUUAUAUGUGUGUUUGGUUUGUUGAAAGGCAGUCUGUGCUUUCAAAGAGUAUUCAGGCAAGUGUAAUGAGAGGUGAUGGAAGGAAAGUGAAAAGUGGAAUGAUGGAGGAGAUGCAUCAGAAGCAUCCCACAGGAGAAAGUAUUUUCACUAUGGAAGUGCUGCCACCCCCUGCCCCAUGUAAGUGCUGAGGGAAGCAAGCACUAGCAAAAUAAUUUUUUGCUAGCAGGUCAUGGUCUGGGCUAUCAAGAAUUUCUUUUACUCAUCUCACCCUAUGAAUUAUUUAAGUGGACUUUGUACAGGUGAUACCACUGUCACACAAGCAGUUAAUUUAAUCCCACUGUGAUGAGACAGCAGCCAGUGCCAGGCACAGUGUGGCCACUGUCUGUCCCCAGUGACGACACUGGGCACUUGCACUCUGACCUCUGAGGGCAUCCAAUGAGCCAGGAGCAGCUGCUGCCAAGUGUUGCAUCAAUCUCACCUUACAAGUGACCAACAAAGUGCUGAAACCCACUUUUUUUCCCUUGUAACAGCAAAACUUCCUUACCGCGUAAAACUGCAGUUAAGCUUUAUUGAGUGAUUUGUUCUGAUAGAGCUCACAGCCUUUGCUCAUAGCUCCCCCAGUUAUGUCCUAGCCAAGGGCUGAAGGGCAUGCAGGGCCUGAUUUUUCAAAGGUGUUUGUCUGGGAUGAAGGAGAGGAAGCAGUGGCUCUUUACAGAAUAUCCCAAACAGCAUUCCACUAAUUUAAAUGCAAAUCAGUUCUGAAUCUGCAGGAUAUCAUGAGACUCCACAGCAGUCCCAGUAUUUAAGGAUGGUUUCAGGUGUUCCAGACAACAGUAGAAGCAUGACACUUCACCUGGAUGUGACCUCAAGAUUGAGAAAGUGGAAGACUAUCCCAGCCAGCACCUGCAGGGCCCUUGCACUGAAAACUCAGCAGUGGAAACAAACUGGGAGGGCAUCAGGUGCUCAGCUUUAUCAAAGGAGAGGACUUUUAGGUGUCAGAAGCCACAAUGUCAGGAAAGAGCUUCCAGGGACUGAAGGAACAAGCUGA
rnacentral:lncRNA from 1 species